GAUGAACGCUGGCGGCGUGCCUAAUACAUGCAAGUCGAGCGAACGGACGAGAAGCUUGCUUUUCUGAUGUUAGCGGCGGACGGGUGAGUAACACGUGGAUAACCUACCUAUAAGACUGGGAUAACUUCGGGAAACCGGAGCUAAUACCGGAUAAUAUUUUGAACCGCAUGGUUCAAAAGUGAAAGACGGUCUUGCUGUCACUUAUAGAUGGAUCCGCGCUGCAUUAGCUAGUUGGUAAGGUAACGGCUUGCCAAGGCAACGAUGCAUAGCCGACCUGAGAGGGUGAUCGGCCACACUGGAACUGAGACACGGUCCAGAAUCCUACGGGAGGCACCAGUAGGGAAUCUUCCGCAAUGGGCGAAAGCCUGACGGAGCAACGCCGCGUGAGUGAUGAAGGUCUUCGGAUCGUAAAACUCUGUUAUUAGGGAAGAACAUAUGUGUAAGUAACUGUGCACAUCUUGACGGUACCUAAUCAGAAAGCAACGGCUAACUACAUG
rnacentral:rRNA from 1 species